rnacentral:sRNA from 1 species
ACACCGUUCCAUACAACAUACAGAAGAACUUAAGUAUUAAA